AUUGAACGCUGGCGGCAGGCCUAACACAUGCAAGUCGAGCGGAUGAAGGGGGCUUGCUCCUGGAUUCAGCGGCGGACGGGUGAGUAAUGCCUAGGAAUCUGCCUGGUAGUGGGGGAUAACGUCCGGAAACGGGCGCUAAUACCGCAUACGUCCUGAGGGAGAAAGUGGGGGAUCUUCGGACCUCACGCUAUCAGAUGAGCCUAGGUCGGAUUAGCUAGUUGGUGGGGUAAAGGCCUACCAAGGCGACGAUCCGUAACUGGUCUGAGAGGAUGAUCAGUCACACUGGAACUGGGACACGGUCCAGACUCCUACGGGAGGCAGCAGGGGGGAAUAUUGGACAAUGGGCGAAGGCCUGUUCCAGCCAGGCCGCGUGGGUGAAGAAGGUCUUCGGAUUGUAAGCACUUUAAGUUGGGAGGAAGGGCAGUAAGUUAAUACCUUGCUGUUUUGACGUUACCAACAGAAUAAGCACCGGCUAACUUCGUG
rnacentral:rRNA from 1 species